GAUGAACGCUGGCGGCGUGCCUAAUACAUGCAAGUCGAGCGAAUGGAUUGAGAGCUUGCUCUCAAGAAGUUAGCGGCGGACGGGUGAGUAACACGUGGGUAACCUGCCCAUAAGACUGGGAUAACCCCGGGAACCGGGGCUAAUACCGGAUAAUAUUUUGAACUGCAUGGUUCGAAAUUGAAAGGCGGCUUCGGCUGUCACUUAUGGAUGGACCCGCGUCGCAUUAGCUAGUUGGUGAGGUAACGGCUCACCAAGGCAACGAUGCGUAGCCGACCUGAGAGGGUGAUCGGCCACACUGGGACUGAGACACGGCCCAGACUCCUACGGGAGGCAGCAGUAGGGAAUCUUCCGCAAUGGACGAAAGUCUGACGGAGCAACGCCGCGUGAGUGAUGAAGGCUUUCGGGUCGUAAAACUCUGUUGUUAGGGUAAGAACAAGUGCUAGUUGAAUAAGCUGGCACCUUGACGGUACCUAACAGAAAGCCACGGCUAACUACGUGCCAGCAGCCGCGG
rnacentral:rRNA from 1 species